CUACGGGAGGCAGCAGUGGGGAAUUUUCCGCAAUGGGCGAAAGCCUGACGGAGCAAUACCGCGUGAGGGAAGACGGCCUAUGGGUUGUAAACCUCUUUUUUCAGGGAGGAAUUUUGACGUGUACCUGAAGAAUAAGCAUCGGCUAACUCCGUGCCAGCAGCCGCGGUAAGACGGAGGAUGCAAGUGUUAUCCGGAAUCACUGGGCGUAAAGCGUCUGUAGGUGGUUAAGCAAGUCAACUGUUAAAUCUUGAGGCUCAACUUCAAAAUCGCAGUCGAAACUGUUUGACUAGAGUAUAGUAGGGGUAAAGGGAAUUUCCAGUGGAGCGGUGAAAUGCGUAGAUAUUGGAAAGAACACCGAUGGCGAAGGCACUUUACUGGGCUAUUACUGACACUCAGAGACGAAAGCUAGGGUAGCAAAUGGGAUUAGAUACCCCAGUAGUCCUAGCCGUAAACAAUGGAUACUAGAUGUUGAACAGAUCGACCUGUGCAGUAUCAAAGCUAACGCGUUAAGUAUCCCGCCUGGGAAGUAUGCUCGCAAGAGUGAAACUCAAAU
rnacentral:rRNA from 1 species